UACAGAGGGGGCAAGCGUUGUUCGGAAUUACUGGGCGUAAAGGGCGCGUAGGCGGCCUGCUAAGUCGAACGUGAAAUCCCUGGGCUCAACCCAGGAACUGCGUCCGAUACUGGUUGGCUUGAAUCCGGGAGAGGGAUGUGGAAUUCCAGGUGUAGCGGUGAAAUGCGUAGAUAUCUGGAGGAACACCGGUGGCGAAGGCGGCAUCCUGGACCAAUACUGACACUGAGGAGCGAAAGCCAGGGGAGCAAACGGG
rnacentral:rRNA from 1 species